rnacentral:rRNA from 1 species
CUAAUACCGCAUAAUCUCUUCGGAGCAAAGAGGGGGACCUUCGGGCCUCUCGCGUCAGGAUUAGCCCAGGUGAGAUUAGCUUGUUGGUGAGGUAAGAGCUCACCAAGGCGACGAUCUCUAGCUGGUCUGAGAGGAUGAUCAGCCACACUGGAACUGAGACACGGUCCAGACUCCUACGGGAGGCAGCAGUGGGGAAUAUUGCACAAUGGGGGAAACCCUGAUGCAGCCAUGCCGCGUGUAUGAAGAAGGCCUUCGGGUUGUAAAGUACUUUCAGUUGUGAGGAAGGCGUAUGCGUUAAUAGCGUAUGUGUUUGACGUUAGCAACAGAAGAAGCACCGGCUAACUCCGUGCCAGCAGCCGCGGUAAUACGGAGGGUGCGAGCGUUAAUCGGAAUUACUGGGCGUAAAGCGCAUGCAGGCGGCUUGUUAAGCCAGAUGUGAAAGCCCGGGGCUCAACCUCGGAAUAGCAUUUGGAACUGGCAGGCUAGAGUCUUGUAGAGGGGGGUAGAAUUUCAGGUGUAGCGGUGAAAUGCGUAGAGAUCUGAAGGAAUACCGGUGGCGAAGGCG